rnacentral:rRNA from 1 species
UACGUAGGGGGCUAGCGUUGUCCGGAAUCAUUGGGCGUAAAGCGCGUGUAGGCGGUCCGGUAAGUCCGCUGUGAAAGUCGAGGGCUCAACCCUCGAAUGCCGGUGGAUACUGUCGGGCUAGAGUACGGAAGAGGCGAGUGGAAUUCCUGGUGUAGCGGUGGAAUGCGCAGAUAUCAGGAGGAACACCAAUAGCGAAGGCAGCUCGCUGGGACGUUACUGACACUGAGGCGCGAAAGCGUGGGGAGCGAACAGG